rnacentral:tRNA from 1 species
CAAAGUAUAGCUUAAACAAAAGCAUCUAGUUUACAC